AGGCGCGCUGGGGCUGCGCAGGCGCGGGGAGGAGCCGGGGCGGCGCCCGGCGGCUCUGGGGCGUUGUGAGGGACCUCGGAGGGCCGUGGGACAGCGGGAGCAUCCCGAGGACAGGGGGAGACCCCGGGGGUCGUGAGGGGCUGGGGGUAUCCCGGCCCCUGGCGGUCGUGAGGGCUGGAGCGGGUGUGGAGCCGUGGGGGAGCAGGGGCGCUGUGAGGGUGUGCGGGACGCUGAGCGCUGCCGCUGUGAGGGCACGGAGGCGGCUUGGGUCCUGCCGGGGCUGUGAGGGGAUGGGGCAGCCGGCCCUGCCGGGGCUGUGAGGGGAUGGGGCAGCCGGUCCUGCCGGGGGCUGUGAGGGGAUGGGGCAGCCGGCCCUGCCGGGGGCUGUGAGGGGAUGGGCCGCUGCUCGGGGUGUCCCACAGCCCCGGGCUCUGCGGUACUGGUUUCCCAGAAGGUUUGGGCUCUCUUGCCCGCAGGACAGGAGACUCGGGGUCAGCCCAGCGCGCCGGGGAAAAGGCGAGCUCUGAGCUGGGGGAAAUCCAGUGUUGCUCGGAGUUUUAUUCCUAAAUGCCCUUCUGACUGCCUGCACAGCCCCUGCCCUGGGGCUCAGGUGGUGGUGGUGGGAUCCUCAGCUCCUCUCACUUUUCCUACAGCUGGUACUAAUCUAACAGCUCCUCUGUAGGUGACGCUCAGACUUUCACCAUUGCGGUUUUGCCGGGUUUUGAAGGCAAGAACAACAGCAACAAGUAAAAUAGAAGCCUUCGUUCUCUGGUUUACAAUGGACAUUAAAGCUUGUUUGCUUACAAGAGUAUUUGGUGGGGAGCAUAAUGCUAAGAGGAGUUCUUACGUGUGUGACCAUCCAAACCACGGUAGUGCUACUUCCUGUAAGCACUGACUGCUCAAGUGCGGAAAGAAUGGAGAAGGAAAAACGACAACGCAUUUUUUUCCCCCGCAUCUUGUGAAACAAUUUCACGGAAGACAGGAUUUGGGUAGAGAGCUAAGAGCUGUCUUGGGCACUUUGGGGCAGGAGUGGGUUUUGUAACAGGUGUGGAGUUUGGAGGAGAGCUUUCUUAAAGGUCACUCUUGGCUCUUGCCUUGCAUGAAGUCGCAUUGUAUAGUUACUAGAAGGUGCUCAUGUAGCAUGACUAGAGAAAUAAAAGCCUGUGUAGGACUGUGGCUGCUGAACACAAAUUUGGCUAUAAGAAAGCACUUCUAAAAGUGUUGGUUAGCAUUUAGGUAUUGCAGAUUAAUCUUUAAUCUGGGGGACAACCAGCAAGGUAUUUGCCUAACCCUCUUUUAUUCUCCACUGACUCACUUUGAGGAUGCUGCAUGCAGUUUGUAAACUUUGGAAUCUGAGUAAAUUGGUCAGGAGGAAAACCUUAUAGUCAAAUGUCAGAUUUGAUGUCAGCUCUACUGUGUUACUAAGCUCUGAGGCAGGAAAUGGGACAGAGUUCUGCCCUCAUGUAGUACUUACAAAGCCCUGAAAAAGUUAGCUGGGGUUUUACAAGGUAGGGUGUGAGAUUUGGGUUUUAGUAGGGCUUUAGUAGGAGUGUUUUAAGAACAAUUUGCUUCUUGCUUAUUAGAAAUUUAAGACAGUGUUAUAGAAGAAGCCUCAAUACUCAGAUCUUAACUCAGUAUUUGUCAGUGUAAUGCAUAAUUGGCAUCAUUAAACCAGAUAUGUGCUAGUUUUAAUUUGUUCUGUAGAUAAAUUAUUAAAGCAGGGCAGUGGUAUUUGACCUCAGCCUCCGUAGCAGUUAUGAUAGCAGCAGUCCUGAUUGUUUGGUAGUACCAGGAUAGUGUUUUGAAUUAUUAUUUCAGUUGCUCAUUAAGAAUUUAUUUUUGUUUUUUUUUCUCUCCCACAAUUGUGUUUUGGCUAGUGUUACAUACCUCAAGUAUUUAGCAAAAUAGUAAGUUUAAAGACACCUGAUCUGUGUUUCAGAUUACUGCUGUCCUCGUUUCCUGGAACAGCAACAUUUGAUUCUCUACCCUGAAGUUUUGUAUCACAUCAGUUAUUCUAAAGAUUGAGGGGACAUCACGGCAUUCUAACUUGUGGAUACCUGACAAGUGUCCUUAGAGCACAGUUAAUGUGUCUGGGCCUAAGGGAUCACUCCUGUGCUCCUGGGCUUAAUUGCAGUUUUAGCAACAGAAAUCAAGUCCCAGAAGCUUGAUUUAUAGUAUCUUAAGAGUAUUUUUCUUUCUCCUCCUAUUUUUCCCUUAACAAUCAUCCAUCAUACUUAGCUCAGAGGGAACGUGUGUUUUGUUGUAAGAGGCACCAGAGAAAGGUGUUGUGCAAAUGAGCACAAAUCUGCUGCAAGAGGCUGCAGAGCUUGUCUGCCUGGACACCUGCCACAGCAGGUUAGAUCCCUCAGAAAUCCGAUAAUCCUCCUUUAUCCUGGUAAUCUGAACAGCAGCAUCUUGCCAUGUUGUAGGGCUGAGGGAUAAAGUGUGUUAGUCUGCUUGGUUGCUGGAAUUCAGAGGCUGGUGGGUUUGUAUUCAGCAGUGCAUGUGAAGCCUGAAGAGCAUCUGCUUUUUCCACAAACGUCAUUCAAGGCUGGCAGCUGAGACACGGCGACCUUGGCUACAGUAUGGAGAUCUCCAAAUGGAGCAGAACUCUCCGCUUUCCUGUCAGACUGCCCUCCAAUCUGUGCUGUUCAUCAAACACUGCAACAACACUUCUUUUAAAGCUUGAUUUUGGUGAAUGUAUUUAACCUUGUACUUGACAGGAAUUGCGCAGAGCAGGGGAACGACAUUAACUUGACCCUCAUCUUGGAGGGUGCUGUCCUUGUCAGUGCACGGAGCUGGCUGGAGCUCUGGGAGCAGGGAAAAGUCAGGAAAAGGGUGGCUUGUCAACUGCUCUGCCAGUGGCCUUCCUCCCUUUGGAAAUACUGCCAGAGCUUACGUGUUGAAGGUGAAGUAAAUACUAAUAAAGCUGCCGUUAAUUAAAA